rnacentral:rRNA from 1 species
GACGAACGCUGGCGGCGUGCUUAACACAUGCAAGUCGAACGGAAAGGCCCUGCUUUUGUGGGGUGCUCGAGUGGCGAACGGGUGAGUAACACGUGAGUAACCUGCCCUUGACUUUGGGAUAACUUCAGGAAACUGGGGCUAAUACCGGAUAGGAGCUCCUGCUGCAUGGUGGGGGUUGGAAAGUUUCGGCGGUUGGGGAUGGACUCGCGGCUUAUCGGCUUGUUGGUGGGGUAGUGGCUUACCAAGGCUUUGACGGGUAGCCGGCCUGAGAGGGGGACCGGGCACAUUGGGACUGAGAUACGGCCCAGACUCCUACGGGAGGCAGCAGUGGGGAAUAUUGCACAAUGGGCGGAAGCCUGAGGCAGCAACGCCGCGUGCGGGAUGACGGCCUUCGGGUUGUAAACCGCUUUCGCCUGUGACGAAGCGUGAGUGACGGUAAUGGGUAAAGAAGCACCGGCUAACUACGUG